rnacentral:lncRNA from 1 species
UCGCGCGCUCUCAGUGAAGCUGCGCAGACUCUGUGCUCGGCACGCGCUCCGCUCCUCCAGCAGGGAGACACCGACCCCCUCUCACCGCCACAGACCCCCGGACCACACCAGCCCCGCGCGCUCUCUCUCACCCCGGCCCCCUGCACUGCGAGCCGCUCGCGGGCCAUCCGAGGCGAUGCUGUACGGGCUGCUCUUGCCUCUCGCUGCGCUGCUGCUGCUGCGUGCGGACGGCAGGCGCGUGGACACGGUGGUCUCUAUAAACAACAACAACAACAAUGAAAACCACAACAACCACGCUAACCCACUGGACUCGGAGAAAUGGAUGAGCGGCACGUCCCACUACGACAAGGACAAGUACUGGAACCGCUUCAGAGACGUAAGUGAUUUUAUAUCCUUCAUCUUUCACUCGGGGGCCGUUAAAAAGUGCAGGGCAGAACAGGACAUCAGUGAGAUUUAUGUCGUAAUAUUUUUACGCUGGAUUCGGACGGAAAGGCCAUGUGUGUGUGUGUGUGUGUGACUGCUCUUAAAGCCACAACCCAG